UAGUUAUCAAGAAAGGUGGAGGGAAUAGACCCUAUGAAGCCUUAGCAACCCUCGGCUCUGAUUCGAGAAGGUGCUAAAUUCUAUCCCAUUGUGGAAUAGAUAACAA
rnacentral:ncRNA from 2 species